CCGACGUGGACAUCCAGAGAGUCCGUCUCCUGGCUCUGUCCUGGUGGCGUAUGGGAGCGUAGCUCUGAGCCGAGACGUACAGUCCCGUUCCACAACGUCGGACACAAAGCUCCGUCCCCGGCCUCCGGCUGGUGAGGACGAGCGUCCUGCAUAUUCCUACAUCUUCCCAGAGUCCUUCGGGGCCGUUACUGGGGGGCCAAACCAUGCAGGUCACAGAA